UUGUGACCGUUCAACUGGGCAUU
rnacentral:miRNA from 1 species